rnacentral:lncRNA from 1 species
UGAGUCAUACCUUCUUUUAUUAUUUUAUCUAUUCUUAGAAACUAAUUACUCCUCUUUAUUUCCAUGCAGACUAUAACAGAUAAACAGAGGGCAAUGACAGUACUUGAUGGAGGAAAUUCUCAGCUACAAAACACUGUUUUUCAACAUAACUGUCCUUAUUCACUAUGCAUAUUCUCCAUCAGUGAAACAGCAAGCUGCAGUCUUCUUCAGAACACCUAUCAAUCUCCCACUUAUAACAAGGAAACUUUGAUUUACCCUUCAGUAGAGGGUGAAGAGAGGAAAAGCAAGAUAGAGCAUUAGAUAAUUCUGAAUGAAAAUGUCCUAAUCAAUCCUAAAUUGAGGACAGAGGAAAAUCAGAGGAAAUAAAGAGCAAAGGUAUGUGCUGUAUAUUCUUCA